rnacentral:lncRNA from 10 species
GUAGGAAUUACAUUUCACUAGGGAACAGCCAGGGUCACCUCCUUGCCUGAGGCCCCACCAUCCCAUCAGCCUGGAUGGGCCUGCUCAGCAGCCACACUCGCCCCUAGGCCGAGAAGGGGUGGGGCUCGGUUCCACAGAGUCUCCCAGGGCCUCAGGCAGGUACUCUAGGCUGAUUCCAUCUCCAGGUUCGCAAGUAAAAAAAAAGUCAACUGCCCAAAAGACUUCUCUUAGAACUCACAGCAGGUUAGGCUGGCAGGUGGAGUCUAUGCUCGGGUGGUCCCAUCUGCCAGGCCUGAUGUUCCAGGUGAAGAGAUUGGUGAGCACCAGGUGACCCCACCCAGGUGCACGUGGCUCUGUCGGGUACAGGCAAGUCUCUGCCCACCAAAGGGACACCACAAGGGCCCAGGCAAAGCAGAGCCUUUCUCACUGGGUGUCUGCUGGUGCUGAUGUCACCAAGGAACACACCCCGGGCAGCUUAAACCACAGACGUUUAUUCUUGCAUAGGGCUGGAGGUCACAAGUCUGAGAUCAAGGUGCUGGACAGCCUGGCUCUUCCUGAGGGUGGCUGGCAGGUCCAGUGCAGGCCUCCCACCUUGGCUGGUGGACAGCCAUCUGCUCCCUGGCUCUCCAUAUCACCUUCCCCUUGUGCCUGUCUCUCUCCAGAUCUCCCCUUCCUGUAAAGACACCAGUCCUACUGGAUCAGGGCCCACCCGUGUGACUUCACUUUUACUUGAGUACCUCUCACAGACCCUAACUCCAAAUCAGGUCACUUGCUGAGGUACUGCAUGUGAAGACUUUGACAUUUGAAUUUUGAGGGGGCCACCGUUUAACCUGAACCACCAAGGACAGAGCCAAAGACCCUGGGUGACAGGCCCAGAACAGGACCUGGUGGAGGCUCUUCUUUAGGGGAGAGAGGGAAAUGGGAGCCACCACUGGCAGAGCCUGAAGGCAGGGCAGCCAGAAAGAAGCUGUGGGAGUCCCCACCAUGGAAGACCCUGCCGAGCAUCCUGUGUCUCCUGAAGCAGACCCUGACAUGAGGACUGGGGGCACGUGUUUAUUAAGGGCGAUCCCCGGAAGGAGGAGAUAACCAGGUAGGGAAGGAGGGAACCCCAGGGCAGGGCUCUAGAGAGAGAGGAUGACCCUCAGGAGCAGGAGGGUGCACCUGAAACCAGACCCAGCAAGAGAUGGAAGCCCUGGGAGCAGCCCCACUCCAGGUCCUCUGCAGGAGUGACCCAGCUGCCACCAGGCUGCCCUGCCCAGCUCAGCAGGCCCUACGGGUGCAGGGAAGCAGAUGGGCAGUGAGAUCUGGGACCGGUAUAGAACCACAGCUGCCACAACUGCCCAUGGCUCCCUCCCUUCUUUGACGUCAGAGUGAGCAGGGCGGUUUCUGCUGCCUUCGCAUUCCAGCCCCACACACCUCCCUGCAGCCUGGCACUGGAAACUGCUGAGCCAUGCAGGGCAGCCUGGUGGCGGCUAGGACACUUCUGCAGAGGACCUGGAGUUGGGCUGCUCCCGGGGCUCCCAUCUCUUGCUGGGUCUGUUUUCAGGUGCACCCUCCUCCUCCAGGAGGCAGGGGCAAGACCAGCUUCAGCCCUUCUUGCUCUCCAUGGUCUGUAUAUGGACAGGGUGUGGGCCCGGGGAGACAGUUGUGUGGUGUGUGCAUUGUGUGUGUGGGGGGGGUUGUCUGUGUGUCUGUGAAUAUUUGUGUGAUAUGUGUGUAGUAUGCUCAUGUGUCAUGACUCUGUGAGGGUGUGAUGGAAGAGUGUGUGUAAGAGAGAAGUUUGAGUGUGUGUGGUGUGUGCAUCUGGUGUCUGUGGGUGAUGUUUGUGUACAUAGUGUCUGUGUGUGUGAUGUCGGUGUGUUGUGUGGGUUUGUGUGUGUAUAUAGUGUCUGUGUGUGUGAUGUCAGCGUGUUGUGUAAGGAUUUAUGUGUGUGUGUGGUGUCUGUGUUUGUGAUGUUGGUGUGUUGUGUGUGGGUCUAUGUUUGUGUGUGAUGUUGGUGUGUGUGAUAUCAGUGUGUUGUGUGUGGGUUUAUGUGUGUGUGUGUGAUGUCUGUGUCUGAUGGUGUGUUUUGUGUGGGAUUGUGUGUGUGUGUGUGGUGUCUGUGUGUGUGAUGUCAGUGUGUUGUGUGUGGGUUUAUGUGUGUGAUGUCGGUGUGUGUGAUGUCAGUGUGUUGUGUGUGGGUUGAUAUGUGUAUGUGUGAUGUUGGUGUGUUGUGUGUGCAUUUAUGUGUGUGUGGUGUCUGUGUGUGUGAUGUCAGUGUGUUGUGUGUGGGUGUAUAUUUGUGCAUCAUGUCAGUGUGUGUGAUGUCAGUGUGUUGUGUGUGGGUUUAUGUGUGUGUCUGAUUUUGGUGUGUUGUGUAUGGGUUUAUGUGUGUGUGGUGACUGUGUGUGAUGUUGGUGUGUUGUGUGGGUUUAUGUGUGUGGUGUCUGUGUGUAUGAUGUCAGUGUGUUGUGUAGGUUUAUGUGUAUGUGAUGUUGGUGUGUGUAAUGUCAGUGUGUUGUGUGUGGGUUUAUAUGUGUUUGUGUGAUAUUGGUGUGUUGUGUGUGGGUUUAUGAGUGUGCAUGGUGUCUGUGUGAUGUUGGUGUGUUGUGUGGGUUUGUGUGUGUGGAUGUGGUUUCUGCCUAUGGGAGGAGGUUUGCUCACAGAUGGAGGAGAAGGAGCUCUAUAGGCAAAGAUCCCAGGGCCGUGGAGGAGGAGACACAGUCCUGAGAACUCCUUCCUCUGAAUCAGAAGGACAGGAAAGGCAGAAGUCCUAGCAGAGUAUGCCCACGCUGGUUAGUGCUGCUGCAAAGAUGAGCCGAAGACCAUGAGAGACCUCCAGGUGGUCCUUCUGGGGAGAAGAAAUGGGUUUUGGCCCCAAAUCCUUCUGCUGCAUUUUUCCCCUAUCCCUGGGAAGCCAUGAGACCUCAAACCUGUGUUCCCAAGGAGGCGAGCUGCUGUUCCCAGGUGAUGAUAUGAUGUGCUUGGGGAAAGUAAGUGGCUGCCAGACAUGGCUGAGAGCUGUUGUCACUGCCGUCAAGUGCAUGUCUCCAAGCCAUAUCACACGGCGUCCCUCGAUGUGAGGCCACAUGGCAAGUGGGCCGUGGAUCUCCCUCUGCCCUUUGCAAGCACGUAAGACAGCAGAUUUUGCAGAUACCUUGUGGCGCAGGGGAAUUUCCUUUGGCCAGGUCUGAAGAAAUAAAGCAGCAGGCACCGAGAACAAAGCCAAGGCUUUCAAAAGACAAGGAGCCAAAAAACUUACUCAAAAUAAAAGUAGUUUUAAAAUGUCUCUGCCAUUGGUAGUCUCAUUUUCUUUUUAAUGUAGGAAAUAGUCAAGUAUUAAAAUGACCAAAAUGAAACAAGUGCCUCAUGGACUGAGAAGGAAGGAGGA